rnacentral:rRNA from 1 species
GUGUCAGCAGCCGCGGUAAUACCAGCACCCCGAGUGGUCGGGAUGAUUAUUGGGCCUAAAGCAUCCGUAGCCGGUGUAACAAGUCCUCCGUUAAAUCCACCUGCUUAACAGGUGGGCUGCGGAGGAUACUGUUACACUAGGAGGCGGGAGAGGCGAGGGGUAUUCCACGGGUAGGGGUAAAAUCCUCUGAUCCGUGGAGGACCACCAGUGGCGAAGGCGCCUCGCCAGAACGCGCUCGACGGUGAGGGAUGAAAGCUGGGGGAGCAAACCGGAUUAGAUACCCGGGUAGUCCCAGCCGUAAACGAUGUAGGCUCGGUGAUGGACUGGCUCCGAGCCAGUCCAGUGCCGCAGGGAAGCCGUUAAGCCUACCGCCUGGGGAGUACGGCCGCAAGGCUGAAACUCAAAGGAAUUGGCGGGG